rnacentral:rRNA from 1 species
AUUGAACGCUGGCGGCAUGCCUUACACAUGCAAGUCGAACGGCAGCACGGGGCAACCUGGUGGCGAGUGGCGAACGGGUGAGUAAUGCAUCGGAACGUACCUUUCAGUGGGGGAUAACGUAGCGAAAGUUACGCUAAUACCGCAUAUUCUGUGAGCAGGAAAGCAGGGGAUCGCAAGACCUUGCGCUGAUUGAGCGGCCGAUGUCAGAUUAGCUAGUUGGUGAGGUAAAGGCUCACCAAGGCGACGAUCUGUAGCGGGUCUGAGAGGAUGAUCCGCCACCCUGGAACUUAGACCCGGUCCAGACUCCUACGGGGGGCAGCAGGUGGGAAUUUUGGACAAUGGGCGCAAGCCUGAGCCAGCCAUGCCGCGUGAGUGAAGAAGGCCUUCGGGUUGUAAAGCUCUUUCGGCCGGGAAGAAAUCGCACGGGCUAAUACCCUGUGUGGAUGACGGUACCGGAAUAAGAAGCACCGGCUAACUACGUGCCAGCCGCCGCCGUAACAC